AGAGUUUGAUCCUGGCUCAGGACGAACGCUGGCGGCGUGCUUAACACAUGCAAGUCGAACGGAAAGGCCCUUCGGGGUACCCGAGUGGCGAACGGGUGAGUAACACGUGGGUGAUCUGCCCUGCACUUUGGGAUAAGCCUGGGAAACUGGGUCUAAUACCGAAUAGGACCGCGCGCUUCAUGGUGUGUGGUGGAAAGCUUUUGCGGUGUGGGAUGGGCCCGCGGCCUAUCAGCUUGUUGGUGGGGUAAUGGCCUACCAAGGCGACGACGGGUAGCCGGCCUGAGAGGGUGACCGGCCACACUGGGACUGAGAUACGGCCCAGACUCCUACAGGAGGCAGCAGUGGGGAAUAUUGCACAAUGGGCGCAAGCCUGAUGCAGCGACGCCGCGUGAGGGAUGACGGCCUUCGGGUUGUAAACCUCUUUCACCAGGGACGAAGCGCAAGUGACGGUACCUGGAGAAGAAGCACCGGCCAACUACGUGCCAGCAGCCGCGGUAAUACGUAGGGUGCGAGCGUUGUCCGGAAUUACUGGGCGUAAAGAGCUCGUAGGUGGUUUGUCGCGUUGUUCGUGAAAACUCACAGCUUAACUGUGGGCGUGCGGGCGAUACGGGCAGACUAGAGUACUGCAGGGGAGACUGGAAUUCCUGGUGUAGCGGUGGAAUGCGCAGAUAUCAGGAGGAACACCGGUGGCGAAGGCGGGUCUCUGGGCAGUAACUGACGCUGAGGAGCGAAAGCGUGGGGAGCGAACAGGAUUAGAUACCCUGGUAGUCCAA
rnacentral:rRNA from 1 species